rnacentral:lncRNA from 1 species
AUCGCGAGUGUUUUGGUGUGUUUGACUUCAUGAAAAUGGGGCGAAAUGGCCCCUAUGCUUUCUAAACUCUUCGUAAAGUAUUUUUAAAUGCAUUUCUAUGCUAAUUGGAAUUUAUGUGAAUUUUAGAACACCUAAAAUGCAUGCCUUAUGUGUAAGUUAAAUUUUCACUCUAUAUAGUAGGGUAAUCAGGGUUAUUUUCAUGCAUGUGAGGAGUGUUUAUGUGGACGAAUGGGAUUCUCGUCUAGUAUGCUAAUUUAGCUCAUAUUCGUGUAUUGGAAACAUUAUACUAUGUUUGGACUUAGUAGCAUAAAGUGUCAUCAAGAGGCACUUGAAAUUAGUAGACUAUGAAACUGCAACAUAGAAACAUAAUGUUAGGCUAUUGUACAUCUGCUAUAUAUUCCAUGUUAGAGACAUGAUGACAUAGAGAUAGGCCUUUGGGACAUUCGAUACAUUCCAUGUUAUUUGACAUGAGGACUUGGUACUUGUGACUGUACGUAUGACUACUUGCCAUUGUGCUCAUUCACACAUGCUUGUGAGGGUCGCUCCCUACAAGCCGGCACUCCGGAGAUAGCCAUCGCGAUUCAUAUUCGCCGUGCGGGAUUGGAUGCCGAAGUGGAUUGCCGUGGGCGAGGCUCAUUCCUAGGGUGGGGAUGAUGACUACCACGGGGCCAUUAGGCUCGGCAUCGGCCAGACAGCCUACGGGUGGGUCUCAGGGCCAUAGACAGCCUUCGGGUGGGUCUCUUCAGAUUUGACUUUGAGUAUUCACUAUGAUAUGUGAACUUUAAAACUGUUAAAGUAGACUUGGACUAGGAUAGUAAACUAUGACAUCUUUACUAUUUUUGCAUCGAGGACAUCGGGUUGGUUGCAUUUCUAUGAUUACGCAUGUCAUACCUAUCCAUGUACAUCCAUGAUAUAGUUGCCUUAUCACUUGUGCAAAUCAUGCUAAGUAGAGACUUCAUGUUGUAGUAAGUUGCACUUUUACUUACACUUCGCUUUACUAUUUUUAUUGUCGCUGACACUUUCCUUGUAGCUUUGGGCUUUGUGGUGCAUUCACUGAAGUCAGUAAUUGCCCACUGGGAACUAUUUUUAAUAGUUCUCACGCCCUCUUUUCGUGGUUUCUUUCAGAGCCUUCUGCACCGGCGGAGGCACGGGAUCGCGGCAAGGGGAUCGCAUAGCUAGCUA